UCGGGACCAGAAAAGGCCUUGCUUGUGGGGUAGUUUGCUGCCCUCCCUGCCAUCCACAUGGGUGGGCUGUGUGAGAGGGACAACGGCCUGCAAGGAGGCCAGGAGUGGGAGUGGAUUUGGGAAGGACCUCAGUGACAGGAAGGGUGUUUCCACUGUGCAGCUGCCAAAAGAAACCUGUGACUCAGUGGGUGGCAUGUGUGAUACCCAGAAACUUUAUAGUCCGAGUUAUCCUGGCUCCUAUCUACUUCCGGGACACCAUUGGCACUGCAUUCCCUGUUGAAUGACGCCCCCUGGAACACAGCUUAUAUUUGUUGAAAAGAGGCCACAGGCGAUCUACUCUCUCUGCUCAUCUUCCUGAUCCAGUGGCCUCUGAAAUCCUUCUGGCGGCUUCUAAUUGUAAACCUUCUCAUACUUGAAACCUUCCCUGUGUCAGGAUGAGGAAGCUCGUAUGAAGAGUGGGCUGAUUCCAUUUGUUUGCAGUUUAUGAUCAAAUUUGGACAUCUUAUUUCGAAGCGAUAUAAGAAAGGCACUUGAUAUCUGUUACAUUUCCCAGAAUGGUUCCCAGUGCUGGAGAUAAUUCCUUUUCGGAGAACCUACAUUUCUCACCUGCUGAUUGCAAUUAGCCACUACCAGCUGGGGCCUGGUGUGCAGCUGAAAAGCUAACAAGAAGUGGAGACCACGCGGAACUCAGACAGGGCAUAGGAUGUGCAUAAAUAAGCAACGGUGCCUGUGUUUAUGAGAUGCUCCUGUGAAUUCGAGGCUUCCCCACCCUCUGCAUAACUCUCCCUCUUCUGGCUUUGUGCUGCACACCCCUCCCCUAACUAUAUUUUUUGUCUCUGGUUUUGUAGCCUACGUUUAACAUCACAGUCACGA
rnacentral:lncRNA from 1 species